rnacentral:rRNA from 1 species
AUUGAACGCUGGCGGCAGGCCUAACACAUGCAAGUCGAGCGGAUGAAGGGAGCUUGCUCCUGGAUUCAGCGGCGGACGGGUGGGUAAUGCCUAGGAAUCUGCCUGGUAGUGGGGGAUAACGUCGGGAAACGGGGGUUAAUACCGAAUACGUCCUGAGGGAGAAAGUGGGGGAUCUCCGGACCUCACGCAACCAGAGGAGCCUAGGUCGGAUUAGCUAGUUGGUGGGGUAAAGGCCUACCAAGGCGACGAUCCGUAACUGGUCUGAGAGAAUGAUCAGUCACACUGGAACUGGGACACGGUCCAGACUCCUACGGGAGGCAGCAGUGGGGAAUAUUGGACAAUGGGCGAAAGCCUGAUCCAGCCAUGCCGCGUGUGUGAAGAAGGUCUUCGGAUUGUAAAGCACUUUAAGUUGGGAGGAAGGGCAGUAAGUUAAUACCUUGCUGUUUUGACGUUACCAACAGAAUAAGCACCGGCUAACUUCGUG